CCUACGUGUGGCAGCAGUGGGGAAUAUUGCACAAUGGGGGAAACCCUGAUGCAGCGACGCCGCGUGAGCGAUGAAGUAUUUCGGUAUGUAAAGCUCUAUCAGCAGGGAAGAAAAUGACGGUACCUGACUAAGAAGCCCCGGCUAACUACGUGCCAGCAGCCGCGGGAAUACGUAGGGGGCAAGCGUUAUCCGGAUUUACUGGGUGUAAAGGGAGCGUAGACGGCGGUGCAAGCCAGAUGUGAAAGCCUGGGGCUCAACCCCGGGACUGCAUUUGGAACUGGGCUGCUAGAGUGUCGGAGAGGCAGGCGAAAUUGCUAGGGGAGCGGUGAAAUGCGUAGAUAUUAGGAGGAACACCAGUGGCGAAGGCGGCCUGCUGGACGAUGACUGACGUUGAGGCUCGAAAGCGUGGGGAGCAAACAGGAUUAGAUACCCCGUGUAGUC
rnacentral:rRNA from 1 species